rnacentral:lncRNA from 1 species
GGUGAGAGUAAUUGUUGAGACGACUGCUGCUGUUGCUGCAAUUUCUGUAAUAAUUGGAAUUGUUGCUCUGAGAGGCCCUGCUGUGCCAGUUGUUGAAUUUGUGGCUGCUGUUGUGACCUCUGGGACAGAUUUUGCUGCAACUGUGUCUGUUGCUGUUGGCUCUGUACGAGGUUAGGUUGCUGUUCCACCUGUUGCUGAAUCUGUGUAUCUUGAGCUAACGAUGUCAAAGGAUAUGAAGCCUUAUUAGCAGGAAGGGUGGUUUGAGUUGACUGGCCAUUGCUUGUCAAUAUUUGUUGUUGUUGCUGCUGUUGCUGAAUCUGAGAAUAAACACCUGGCUGAUGCAAAUUUUGAUUUGGCAUCUGGUUUGAGGCAAUGAUGCCAUUAUUUACUUGAGCUGGUAGAAAUUGUUGUUGCAGCAGCUGCGGUUGUGCCUGUUGUCUUUGUUGUUGUUGCAGUUGCUGUAGAGGUGGCUGCUGCUGCUGUGGUUGUGGUUGUGGCUGUGCCUGUUGUCUUUGUUGUUGCUGCUGCUGCUGCUGUAGAGGUGGCUGAGGCUGAGGCUGCUGUUGAAGAUGUGACUGUGGCUGCAGCUGUGACUGUCGUUGCUGUAACUGCUGUUGUGGAUUUUGAUUCAGAGGAGUCUGCAAUAACUGCUGGAGUUGCUGUUGCUGGGGCCAGGUCAUAGGUGCCUGAG